rnacentral:misc_RNA from 1 species
UUGAUAAUUAUAUGGGACUCAGACAACACAAAAAUAGCGUGUAUGGGUCUCUGACGGGCACGCGCCAGCCGGAGCCGACGGCCAAGGAGGACGGCCCGCCAAAGCAACAGAGUAAAUAAGCAAGGGUGGAGAUCUACCCCGGAGGGCAGGAACUCGAUAAUGAUCCUUCCGCAGGUUCACCUACGGAAA